rnacentral:rRNA from 1 species
GGGUUGUGAGGUUAAGCGACUAAGCGUACACGGUGGAUGCCCUGGCAGUCAGAGGCGAUGAAGGACGUGCUAAUCUGCGAUAAGCGUCGGUAAGGUGAUAUGAACCGUUAUAACCGGCGAUUUCCGAAUGGGGAAACCCAGUGUGUUUCGACACACUAUCAUUAACUGAAUCCAUAGGUUAAUGAGGCGAACCGGGGGAACUGAAACAUCUAAGUACCCCGAGGAAAAGAAAUCAACCGAGAUUCCCCCAGUAGCGGCGAGCGAACGGGGAGCAGCCCAGAGCCUGAAUCAGUAUGUGUGUUAGUGGAAGCGUCUGGAAAGGCGCGCGAUACAGGGUGACAGCCCCGUACACAAAAAUGCACAUAUUGUGAGCUCGAUGAGUAGGGCGGGACACGUGGUAUCCUGUCUGAAUAUGGGGGGACCAUCCUCCAAGGCUAAAUACUCCUGACUGACCGAUAGUGAACCAGUACCGUGAGGGAAAGGCGAAAAGAACCCCGGCGAGGGGAGUGAAAAAGAACCUGAAACCGUGUACGUACAAGCAGUGGGAGCACGCUUAGGCGUGUGACUGCGUACCUUUUGUAUAAUGGGUCAGCGACUUAUAUUCUGUAGCAAGGUUAACCGAAUAGGGGAGCCGAAGGGAAACCGAGUCUUAACUGGGCGUUAAGUUGCAGGGUAUAGACCCGAAACCCGGUGAUCUAGCCAUGGGCAGGUUGAAGGUUGGGUAACACUAACUGGAGGACCGAACCGACUAAUGUUGAAAAAUUAGCGGAUGACUUGUGGCUGGGGGUGAAAGGCCAAUCAAACCGGGAGAUAGCUGGUUCUCCCCGAAAGCUAUUUAGGUAGCGCCUCGUGAAUUCAUCUCCGGGGGUAGAGCACUGUUUCGGCAAGGGGGUCAUCCCGACUUACCAACCCGAUGCAAACUGCGAAUACCGGAGAAUGUUAUCACGGGAGACACACGGCGGGUGCUAACGUCCGUCGUGAAGAGGGAAACAACCCAGACCGCCAGCUAAGGUCCCAAAGUCAUGGUUAAGUGGGAAACGAUGUGGGAAGGCCCAGACAGCCAGGAUGUUGGCUUAGAAGCAGCCAUCAUUUAAAGAAAGCGUAAUAGCUCACUGGUCGAGUCGGCCUGCGCGGAAGAUGUAACGGGGCUAAACCAUGCACCGAAGCUGCGGCAGCGACACUAUGUGUUGUUGGGUAGGGGAGCGUUCUGUAAGCCUGUGAAGGUGUGCUGUGAGGCAUGCUGGAGGUAUCAGAAGUGCGAAUGCUGACAUAAGUAACGAUAAAGCGGGUGAAAAGCCCGCUCGCCGGAAGACCAAGGGUUCCUGUCCAACGUUAAUCGGGGCAGGGUGAGUCGACCCCUAAGGCGAGGCCGAAAGGCGUAGUCGAUGGGAAACAGGUUAAUAUUCCUGUACUUGGUGUUACUGCGAAGGGGGGACGGAGAAGGCUAUGUUGGCCGGGCGACGGUUGUCCCGGUUUAAGCGUGUAGGCUGGUUUUCCAGGCAAAUCCGGAAAAUCAAGGCUGAGGCGUGAUGACGAGGCACUACGGUGCUGAAGCAACAAAUGCCCUGCUUCCAGGAAAAGCCUCUAAGCAUCAGGUAACAUCAAAUCGUACCCCAAACCGACACAGGUGGUCAGGUAGAGAAUACCAAGGCGCUUGAGAGAACUCGGGUGAAGGAACUAGGCAAAAUGGUGCCGUAACUUCGGGAGAAGGCACGCUGAUAUGUAGGUGAGGUCCCUCGCGGAUGGAGCUGAAAUCAGUCGAAGAUACCAGCUGGCUGCAACUGUUUAUUAAAAACACAGCACUGUGCAAACACGAAAGUGGACGUAUACGGUGUGACGCCUGCCCGGUGCCGGAAGGUUAAUUGAUGGGGUUAGCCGCAAGGCGAAGCUCUUGAUCGAAGCCCCGGUAAACGGCGGCCGUAACUAUAACGGUCCUAAGGUAGCGAAAUUCCUUGUCGGGUAAGUUCCGACCUGCACGAAUGGCGUAAUGAUGGCCAGGCUGUCUCCACCCGAGACUCAGUGAAAUUGAACUCGCUGUGAAGAUGCAGUGUACCCGCGGCAAGACGGAAAGACCCCGUGAACCUUUACUAUAGCUUGACACUGAACAUUGAGCCUUGAUGUGUAGGAUAGGUGGGAGGCUUAGAAGUGUGGACGCCAGUCUGCAUGGAGCCGACCUUGAAAUACCACCCUUUAAUGUUUGAUGUUCUAACGUUGACCCGUAAUCCGGGUUGCGGACAGUGUCUGGUGGGUAGUUUGACUGGGGCGGUCUCCUCCUAAAGAGUAACGGAGGAGCACGAAGGUUGGCUAAUCCUGGUCGGACAUCAGGAGGUUAGUGCAAUGGCAUAAGCCAGCUUGACUGCGAGCGUGACGGCGCGAGCAGGUGCGAAAGCAGGUCAUAGUGAUCCGGUGGUUCUGAAUGGAAGGGCCAUCGCUCAACGGAUAAAAGGUACUCCGGGGAUAACAGGCUGAUACCGCCCAAGAGUUCAUAUCGACGGCGGUGUUUGGCACCUCGAUGUCGGCUCAUCACAUCCUGGGGCUGAAGUAGGUCCCAAGGGUAUGGCUGUUCGCCAUUUAAAGUGGUACGCGAGCUGGGUUUAGAACGUCGUGAGACAGUUCGGUCCCUAUCUGCCGUGGGCGCUGGAGAACUGAGGGGGGCUGCUCCUAGUACGAGAGGACCGGAGUGGACGCAUCACUGGUGUUCGGGUUGUCAUGCCAAUGGCACUGCCCGGUAGCUAAAUGCGGAAGAGAUAAGUGCUGAAAGCAUCUAAGCACGAAACUUGCCCCGAGAUGAGUUCUCCCUGACCCUUUAAGGGUCCUGAAGGAACGUUGAAGACGACGACGUUGAUAGGCCGGGUGUGUAAGCGCAGCGAUGCGUUGAGCUAACCGGUACUAAUGAACCGUGAGGCUUAACCUUACAACGCCGAAGCUGUU